AUUAAUGUACUACAAUGUUCCAUUUUGAUCAAUGAAACUGAACUGUUUAUUAAUUAUUGUGUCUAUUUAUCUAUUACCAUGCACCUAUUUGAUGAUAACAAAAAGGGGGAGAAGUAAGGAAAGAGAAAUAAGUUGACAAACAAGGUUGAAAAUUAUAAUAGGAAAGACUAUACAUUUAAGGGGGAGCAAUUUGUACAAUGAAAAUGUUAAAGUCUAAAAUUUAAAUCGAAUUUUAGAUUUUGGCACAUACCUUUCAUACCUCGAUACAUAAUCUGAAACUCUUUCAUUAUCUCAAAUUUUUGAAGUGUCAUCUUUAACCAAGUAUAAAAGAAAGGGAGAGAAGACCAUAAGUUCAAAUUGGCAAUAUUUGGAUGAAAUAGGGGAAGACUUCACUCUCAUAUUUGAAAAGCUGAAAUUCAGCAACUUGAGCCCUUCUAAAAUUAAUUUUAAGAUAAGAAUCAAUUUGAU
rnacentral:lncRNA from 1 species